rnacentral:rRNA from 1 species
CCUACGGGUGGCAGCAGUGAGGAAUAUUGGUCAAUGGCCGGAAGGCUGACCCAGCCAUGCCGCGUGAAGGUCAGUGCCCUAUGGUCGGUAAACUUCUUUUGUACGGGAGCAAUAAUGGUCACGUGUGGCCAGACGAGAGUACCGUACGAAUAAGCAUCGGCUAACUCCGUGACCGCAGCCGCGGUAAUACUGGUGCUGCAAGCGUUAUCCGUAUUUAUUGGGUUUAAAGGGUGCGUAGGCUGUGAGGUAAGUCAGCGGUGAAAUGCCCCCGCUCAACGGGGUGAAGUGCCAUUGAUACUGCCUUGCUGGAAUGCGGAUGCCGUGGGAGGAAUGGGUGGUGUAGCGGUGAAAUGCAUAGAUAUCACACAGAACACCGAUUGCGAAGGCAUCUCACGAAUCCGCGAUUGACGCUGAUGCACGAAAGCGUGGGUAUCAAACAGGAUUAGAUACCCGGGUAGUC